UACGUUGUCAAAGGGUUUCUGCUUCCGGACUCAAGUCCCCAGGCGUAUGAAAUACUGUAGAGGCGAAUCCCAAGUUUUUCGUCUUCGACUUGGGUGUCGAAAAGAAAGUGCACUUCUUGAAGAAGAGAACUUUGUGGUCUGCAUUUGUACAACUCUCUGUAGUCUUCACACACGGGUGUGGCAAGGAAACGUGAAGUACGUUAGAGGGAUUCAAACCACUUUAUAUCCUAUUGAUACGAUGUCCUUAUCUGGUUUGUUAAGAAAAGAUAUUUCAAUCUGUCGACUGGUGUCGUAAAGGCGGCUGGAGUUAUCCGACUCUGGUUCUCGAGGAAUUUCCAGGUAUCUUUUUCCUUUUAGUAACGUAUGAGUGUAUGAACUGUUGGUUGUUCUUUCUCCCCAAACGAUCGUAUUAUGAUUUUGGAUGAAUUGUCCUUCCUGUUGGGU